UACGAAGGGGGCGAGCGUUGUUCGGAGUUACUGGGCGUAAAGGGCGCGUAGGCGGCGAUCCAAGUUAGGCGUGAAAGCCCCGGGCUUAACCUGGGAAUUGCGCUUAAGACUGGACUGCUUGAGUGCGGGAGAGGUGAGUGGAAUUCCCAGUGUAGAGGUGAAAUUCGUAGAUAUUGGGAAGAACACCAGUGGCGAAGGCGGCUCACUGGCCCGAAACUGACGCUGAGGCGCGAAAGCGUGGGGAGCGAACAGG
rnacentral:rRNA from 1 species